AAAAAUCAAACAAGGGAAGAAUCAGAAACGCGAAGAAAAGAAAAAACAAAAAUCAAAGGAAUCAGAAACACAACUCAGGAAUCAAAAACAGAACGAAUCAGAAAAUCAGCUUACUGAAUCAGCUAAGUACGUCAUAGUUCGUUUUUGUAUGUCAUAAAAUAUGAUUUUUGUACUAGUGAGUUAUUAAUAUAAUUAUUUUUUAUAACUAUAUUAAUAUUAUAUUUAUAAUUUGAAACAAAUAUGUUUUGUUUUAUCAAACUUAUACUAUU
rnacentral:lncRNA from 1 species